rnacentral:lncRNA from 1 species
GUCAUCAACUUCUUCCCAGGGAUGAACAAGAGCAUCAACGUCGUCUGUGCUGCUAAGGUGACCCCACAGCCUGGCUGCCACCCCCCCAUGUCCCCAACGUCCCCACGUGUCACCCCCACAGUGUCCCCAUAUGUCACCCAUACGUUGUCCUCGGUGUCCCCUUGUCACCCCCAAAAUGUCCCCAUGUGUCACCCUCUCUGUGUCCCCAGUGCCCCCAUGUGUCACCCCUACAUUCUCCUCAAUGUCUCCUUGUCACUCCCACAGUGUCCCCAUGUGUCACCCUUUCUGUGUCCCUAAUGUCGCCAUGUGUCACCCAUAUCUUGUCCUCAUUGUCCCCAUGUGUCACCCCCACGUUGUCCCCAUGUGUCACCCAUAUCUUGUCUUCAUUGUCCCCAUGUGUCACCCUCUCUGUGUCCCCAAUGUCCCCGUGUGUCACCCCCACGUGUCACCCAUAUGUUGUCCGCAUUGUCCCCACGUGUCACCCCCACAAUGUCCCCAUAUGUCACCCGUACGUUGUCCUCGGUGUCCCCUUGUCACCCCCACAAUGUCCCCAUCUGUCACCCUCUGUGUGUCCCCAACGUCCCCAUGUGUCACCCCCACAUUGUCCCCAUAUGUCACCCAUAUGUUGUCCUCAGUGUCCCUAUGUGUCACCCUUUCUGUGUCCCCAAUGUCCCCAUGUGUCACCCCACGUGUCCCCAUGUGUCACCCGUAUGUUGUCCUCAUUGUCCCCAUGUGUCACCCCCACAAUGUCCCCAUGUGUCACCCUCUGUGUCCCCAACGUCCCCAUGUGUCACCCCCCAUUGUCCCCAGUGUCCCCUCACUCUCUGGUCUCUCCCCAGCGGCCGCGUUCAAAGGGCGAUCUGGUAAGGGAGGACCCAAAAUCUGCUGGUUUCACCCCAAAAUCUGCUACUUUCACCCCCAAAUCCUGCUGGAUGUCCCCAGAUCCUUUAGUUUCACCCCAAAAUCUGCUGGUUUCACCCCAAAAUCUCUUGGGUGUUUCCAAAAUCCACGGGUUUUACUCCCAAAUCUGCUCAUCUCACACCAAAGUCCUGCUGGUUUCAACCCAAAAUCUGCUGGUUUCACCCCAAAAAACACUUGGCUGUCCCAAAACUUGCUGGUUUCACCCCAAAAAACUGCGAGUUUCACCCCAAAGUUUUGCUGA